GACGAACGCUGGCGGCGUGCUUAACACAUGCAAGUCGAACGAUGAAGCCAGCUUGCUGGUGGAUUAGUGGCGAACGGGUGAGUAACACGUGGGCAACCUGCCCCCGGCUCUGGGAUAACUCCAAGAAAUUGGUGCUAAUACCGAAUAUUCAUGAUUCCUCGCAUGGGGUUUUGUGGAAAGUUUUUCGGCUGGGGAUGGGCCCGCGGCCUAUCAGCUUGUUGGUGGGGUGAUGGCCUACCAAGGCGACGACGGGUAGCCGGCCUGAGAGGGUGACCGGCCACACUGGGACUGAGACACGGCCCAGACUCCUACGGGAGGCAGCAGUGGGGAAUAUUGCGCAAUGGGCGGAAGCCUGACGCAGCGACGCCGCGUGAGGGAUGACGGCCUUCGGGUUGUAAACCUCUUUCAGCAGGGACGAAGCGGAAGUGACGGUACCUGCAGAAGAAGCACCGGCCAACUACGUGC
rnacentral:rRNA from 1 species